AUUGAACGCUGGCGGCAUGCCUUACACAUGCAAGUCGAACGGCAGCACGGGAGCAAUCCUGGUGGCGAGUGGCGAACGGGUGAGUAAUAUAUCGGAACGUGCCCAGUAGUGGGGGAUAACUGCUCGAAAGAGCAGCUAAUACCGCAUACGACCUGAGGGUGAAAGGGGGGGAUCGCAAGACCUCUCGCUAUUGGAGCGGCCGAUAUCAGAUUAGCUAGUUGGUGGGGUAAAGGCCUACCAAGGCAACGAUCUGUAGUUGGUCUGAGAGGACGACCAGCCACACUGGGACUGAGACACGGCCCAGACUCCUACGGGAGGCAGCGGUGGGGAAUUUUGGACAAUGGGCGCAAGCCUGAUCCAGCUAUGCCGCGUGCAGGAAGAAGGCCUUCGGGUUGUAAACUGCUUUUGUCAGGGAAGAAAUCCUCUAGGUUAAUACCCUUGGGGGGAUGACGGUACCUGAAGAAUAAGCACCGGCUAACUACGUGCCAGCCGCCGCCGUAAUAC
rnacentral:rRNA from 1 species